rnacentral:rRNA from 1 species
UACGGAGGGGGUUAGCGUUGUUCGGAAUUACUGGGCGUAAAGCGCACGUAGGCGGAUCAGAAAGUAUAGGGUGAAAUCCCAGGGCUCAACCCUGGAACUGCCUUAUAAACUCCUGGUCUUGAGUUCGAGAGAGGUGAGUGGAAUUCCGAGUGUAGAGGUGAAAUUCGUAGAUAUUCGGAGGAACACCAGUGGCGAAGGCGGCUCACUGGCUCGAUACUGACGCUGAGGUGCGAAAGUGU